rnacentral:rRNA from 1 species
UACGGAGGGGGCUAGCGUUGUUCGGAAUUACUGGGCGUAAAGCGCGCGUAGGCGGCUUUGUAAGUUAGAGGUGAAAGCCCGGAGCUCAACUCCGGAACUGCCUUUAAGACUGCAUCGCUAGAAUUGUGGAGAGGUGAGUGGAAUUCCGAGUGUAGAGGUGAAAUUCGUAGAUAUUCGGAAGAACACCAGUGGCGAAGGCGGCGACCUGGUCCGAUACUGACGCUGAGGCGCGAAAGCGUGGGGAACAAACAGG